rnacentral:rRNA from 1 species
UAACACCUGGAAACAGAUGCUAAUACCGGAUAACAACAGAUGAUGCCUAUCAACUGUUUAAAAGAUGGUUCUGCUAUCACUCUUGGAUGGACCUGCGGCGCAUUAGCUAGUUGGUAGGGUAACGGCCUACCAAGGCGAUGAUGCAUAGCCGAGUUGAGAGACUGAUCGGCCACAUUGGGACUGAGACACGGCCCAAACUCCUACGGGAGGCAGCAGCA